GUCUUUUUGAUUAUAAUUUAAAGUCUAAUCUGCUCAAUGAAAGUUUAAAUAGCCGCAGUAUUUUGACUGUGCAAAGGUAGCAUAAUAAUUAGUUUUUUAAUUAGAAACUUGUAUGAAUGAUUGGACAAGAAAAUUUCUGUCUCUUAUUAAUUUUUUUUGAAUUUAAUUUUUAAGUUAAAAUGCUUAAAUUUUUGUAAAAGACGAGAAGACCCCAUAGAGUUUUAUUUUCAAAUAUUUUUAGUAUAAUUUAUUAAAAUUGAAAAAUUAGUUGGGGUGACUUAAAGAUUGAAUAAACUCUUUAAAUUUUGAUCAUUGAUUUGUGAAUUGUGAUUCUAAUUUUUUAAGUUUAAAUUAAAUUACCUUGGGGAUAACAGCGUAAUUUCUUUUAAGAGUUCUUAUCAAAUAAGAAGAUUGCGACCUCGAUGUUGGAUUAAAAUUUAUUUUGGGUGUAGAAGCUUGAAAAUUAAGUCUGUUCGACUUUUAAAAUUUU
rnacentral:rRNA from 1 species